UACGUAGGGUGCAAGCGUUGUCCGGAAUUAUUGGGCGUAAAGGGCUCGUAGGCGGUCCGUCACGUCGGGAGUGAAAACUUGGGGCUUAACCCCAAGCCUGCUUCCGAUACGGGCGGACUAGAGGUAGGCAGGGGAGAACGGAAUUCCUGGUGUAGCGGUGAAAUGCGCAGAUAUCAGGAGGAACACCGGUGGCGAAGGCGGUUCUCUGGGCCUGUCCUGACGCUGAGGCGCGAAAGCUAGGGGAGCGAACAGG
rnacentral:rRNA from 1 species